rnacentral:tRNA from 1 species
AUUAAAGUAGCUUAAGAUAAAGUAUGAUUUUGAAGAAAUCAUGAUAGAAUUAAUUCUCUUUAAUA